GACGUAGGGCGCGAGCGUUGUCCGGAUUUAUUGGGCGUAAAGAGCUCGUAGGCGGUUUGUCGCGUCGUCCGUGAAAACUCACAGCUUAACUGUGAGCUUGCGGUCGAUACGGGCAGACUAGAGUACGGCAGGGGAGACUGGAAUUCCUGGUGUAGCGGUGAAAUGCGCAGAUAUCAGGAGGAACACCGGUGGCGAAGGCGGGUCUCUGGGCCGAAACUGACGCUGAGGAGCGAAAGCGUGGGGAGCGAACAGG
rnacentral:rRNA from 1 species